GACCUUGGAGUAUUUAUUCUUUGGUGACUUACUGACCAAAUGACCAUAACAGAUCCCUGCCUCCCAGAGGUGAAUAGUUACAUUUGUCUUCGGCUUUUAGAGUCUGACGAGACGUCCAUAGGCCUUUUAUAGAUGCAAA